rnacentral:rRNA from 1 species
UUGGUUAAGCUAAUAAGAGCGCAGGGUGGAUGCCUUGGCACUAAGAGCCGAUGAAAGACGUGAUAAGCUGCGAAAAGCUUCGGGGAGGAGCAAAUAUCCAUUGAUCCGGAGAUAUCUGAAUGGGGAAACCCGGCUGAGAAGACCUCAGUCAUCCAUACGCCAAUACAUAACGUAUGGAAGGGAACCCGCUGAACUGAAACAUCUAAGUAGGCGGAGGAAGAGAAAGAAACAUCGAUUCCCAAAGUAGCGGCGAGCGAAAUGGGAAGAGCCCAAACCAGAGUGCGUGCACUCUGGGGUUACGGACUGCAUAAGUGAGCUGAUUCGUUAAUGGAACGGUCCUGGAAAGACCGGCCAGAGAGAGUGAAAGCCUCGUACAUGAAAACGAUAGGCAGCGGCAGGAUCCAGAGUACCGCGAGACACGUGGAACCUUGCGGGAAUUCGGGGGGACCACCCCCCAAGGCUAAAUACUCCUUAGUGACCGAUAGCGCAUAGUACUGUGAAGGAAAGGUGAAAAGGACCCCGGGAGGGGAGUGAAAGAGAACCUGAAACCCUGUGUUUACAAGCUGUGGAAGCACGUUAAGGUGCAACCGCGUACUUUUUGUAGAACGGUCCGGCGAGUUGCGGAUGCUGGCGAGGUUAAGGAGUAAAGCUCCGGAGCCGAAGCGAGAGCGAGUCUUAAUAGGGCGUAAAGUCAGCAUGUGCAGACCCGAAACCGGGUGACCUAUCCAUGUCCAGGUUGAAGUUCCCGUAAAAGGGAAUGGAGGACCGAACGCACAUCCGUUGAAAAGGGUGGCGAUGAGGUGUGGAUAGGGGAGAAAUUCCAAUCGAACCCGGAGAUAGCUGGUUCUCCUCGAAAUAGCUUUAGGGCUAGCCUCGUAUUAGUUUAGCGGAGGUAGAGCACUGAAUUUCCUAGGGGGCGUCAAAGUCUACCGAAGAAUAUCAAACUCCGAAUGCCGCAUAAAUGAUGUACGGGAGUCAGACUGCACGAGAUAAGUUGGGUAGUCAAAAGGGAAAGAGCCCAGACCUACAGCUAAGGUCCCAAAGUGUGUGUUAAGUGGAAAAGGAUGUGGGAUUUCGAAGACAACUAGGAUGUUGGCUCAGAAGCAGCCACACAUUCAAAGAGUGCGUAAUAGCUCACUAGUCGAGAGGUCCUGCGCCGAAAAUGUCCGGGGCUAAAACACAACACCGAAGCUUAGGAAUGUAAUUAUACAUUGGUAGAGGAGCAUUCUUAAAGAGACGAAGCAGUACCGAUAAGGAGCUGUGGAUUUUUAAGAAGAGAGAAUGCCGGAAUGAGUAGCGAGAUGGAGGUGGGAAUCCUCCAGGCCGAAUAUCUAAGGUUUCCAGAGUAAAGCUGAUCUGCUCUGGGUAAGUCGGGGCCUAAGGCGAGGUCGAAAGACGUAGUCGAUGGAUAACAGGUUGAAAUUCCUGUACUGCAUAUCAUCAGAACUGUGGGGACACAGAGAGAUACCGGAACCUGGGAGUGAAGAUACCAGGGCAAGCGAGGUAGGUGCUAAGCUGGCAAAUCCGCUUAGUAAGCCGAAGACGUGAUGCGGAGCGAAUUAAAGUAGUGAAGUCCGGGAUUCGAGCUGUCGAGAAAAGCCGCUAUUGCGUGAUAUGUACCCGUACCGUAAACCGACACAGGUGGAUGAG